rnacentral:misc_RNA from 1 species
UGAAAGGCGAAACGUAAUGUGAAUCGCAACUAACAGUGAAUCAUCGAAUCUUUGAACGCAGGCCGCACCUUGUAACAACACCCCGUGUUAUUGCAAGGUAUCUAUGUAUGAGUGUCAGCCGGAUACGAAUUUCGUUCACCUAGAGCUUUGGAGCUGUAUACAGAGCACUUUGUGGAACGUACAUGAUGCCUCGACGGGUAUAUCAAUGUAUUGUCUGACCUCAUAUAUGGAAGAUUACCCGCUGGAUUUAA